AUGAGGAGAAACCAUGUGACGAAGUCGCAUUUAGGAUGGUUUCGACGACCUGCCGCCGAGCAGAGGCGAGGGGGCGAUACCUAUU
rnacentral:sRNA from 12 species